GUUGGGCCCCACAUCGUCAUCACGGGCCACCAUCCUGUAGAUCUCCUGAGGCUCAGCCGUGCUCUGCAGCUCAGGGAGUUUAACCUGGAAAAGCUUAUGGCUGAACUGAGGGCUGUUAUCAUUCUCAUCCAGGACUUCAAUGACUACAGUUGCAGUGGAGCUCAAUGGAGGGUCCCCUUCAUCUGAUACCAUGACCUAAACAACAGCAGGCUGUCUUUCAAGACUUGUACAGCCCUCAAUCCAGAUGUCCAGGUGGAAUACCAACCAGAGCAGAUUUCCAGAUGGCUAGCAAGACUAGCCAUGUUCUUCAUUUUUAAUGAUGGCUGAACCCAGAUGUACCAUCACUCGUAAAACCUUCCUGGCAUGUGAAAUGUGCUGUUUACUAAAAUGCACAUAUAUAUAUAUACACUUAAGAUAUAUAUACACUUAGAAUUCAGCAGUAUCUGAACUGCACAGUGUACUAUUAUGCAAACAAUUAAAAAAUUUUUAAGUUUGAA